UUAUUAAUAAAAUUUUGUUUACAAAUAAAAUCAGUUUAUACAUUAACCAAAAUAUUAAACCAAAAACUAAUUAACCAAACCUAAAUAAACAAAAAAAAAAUUGAACCAAACCUAAUAAACUAAAACCUAAAGCUCUAAGCUGCGGUCUCCCUUCCAUCGCAGUUCCAUCGUCUCCUUCUUCCUGGCUCUUUCUUCUCUUCUUCUUCUUCUUGUUUGGCUUCACCUACACCACCACCACUAGCUUUCUCUGCCAUCUCCGACUUAAGCCUCUGUUCUCUUACAUCAUCUGAGAUGUCACAGCUAAAGUUUUUGUACCUCUCUUUCUGGAAAGUCCAACAUUAGCAUCAGACAAGGUCUGAAGAAGCUCGGCUCGGGACUUACCCUUUAGCACGAUACAUAGAGGAGGUCCACACUUGCUGGUGUUUCUUUCUUAGAAACGGUAAGAAUAUCGAUGUUUGCUGUAGUAGAUAAACAAUUAAAUUAUGACGUACCAGCCGUUAAACGCUAUGAGUUCGAUAUAAUAGUUUUCCCUAAAACGUUCUGACAACGCCCGUUAUAAUAGGUCUGUCACUUUUGAUAGCGGAUAUGUCGUAUGCUAUAAUUAAAUAAACAACAAUAGCGUUAAUUUCUAUGCAAUUGUUAAUUUUUAUAAUAAUGAAUUGAUUUUAUUUUUUUAAAUGUAAUAUUUAUUUCGAAUUUUUAUAAUAAAAGUAAUUAAUCAUAUUAUAACAACUAAAAUAUAUUUAAAUGAUUAAAAACAAAAAAAAUUAAAAAUUAAAUUAUAUUUAUUAAUAAAAUUUUGUUUACAAAUAAAAUCAGUUUAUACAUUAACCAAAAUAUUAAACCAAAAACUAAUUAACCAAACCUAAAUAAACAAAAAAAAAAUUGAACCAAACCUAAUAAACUAAAACCUAAAGCUCUAAGCUGCGGUCUCCCUUCCAUCGCAGUUCCAUCGUCUCCUUCUUCCUGGCUCUUUCUUCUCUUCUUCUUCUUCUUGUUUGGCUUCACCUACACCACCACCACUAGCUUUCUCUGCCAUCUCCGACUUAAGCCUCUGUUCUCUUACAUCAUCUGAGAUGUCACAGCUAAAGUUUUUGUACCUCUCUUUCUGGAAAGUCCAACAUUAGCAUCAGACAAGGUCUGAAGAAGCUCGGCUCGGGACUUACCCUUUAGCACGAUACAUAGAGGAGGUCCACACUUGCUGGUGUUUCUUUCUUAGAAACGGUAAGAAUAUCGAUGUUUGCUGUAGUAGAUAAACAAUUAAAUUAUGACGAACCUACAAGCAAUGGAACUUGGAUAUUAACACUCUAAACUCGAAGAUUAGAAGUAAAUCAUCAAAAAAGUUUAACAACAUACCCGGCUGAGUAGAAACUCCCAAGAAGAACUUGUCAACAACUCCAUAACAGGGCAAGACUGGUCAUACUAAAGAAAAAAAGAUGAAAGAUCAGAGCAACCAUUAAUCACAACCAGAGUCGAUCAUUUCAAUCAUCUUCUCCACAAUCUGAAAAAAUUAAUUUGUAUUGAAAUCAGCAACACCAUUCAAAAAUAGAGAGCCAUCAACGUUCUCGCAAGUAGCUAUGUCUUAUAAUCCCUCAAAUCAAGAACUCAAAGCAAUACAUAGUACAAUGAGACUGCAGAACCCAACCUCUCUCUGUGACCACCAAGACGUCGGCCAGAGAUGUAGCGACCAGUCAUGCCCUCAGCCAUGUCUCCAGAUGUCACAGCUAAAGUUUUUGUACCUCUCUUUCUGGAAAGUCCAACAUUAGCAUCAGACAAGGUCUGAAGAAGCUCGGCUCGGGACUUACCCUUUAGCACGAUACAUAGAGGAGGUCCACACUUGCUGGUGUUUCUUUCUUAGAAACGGUAAGAAUAUCGAUGUUUGCUGUAGUAGAUAAACAAUUAAAUUAUGACGAACCUACAAGCAAUGGAACUUGGAUAUUAACACUCUAAACUCGAAGAUUAGAAGUAAAUCAUCAAAAAAGUUUAACAACAUACCCGGCUGAGUAGAAACUCCCAAGAAGAACUUGUCAACAACUCCAUAACAGGGCAAGACUGGUCAUACUAAAGAAAAAAAGAUGAAAGAUCAGAGCAACCAUUAAUCACAACCAGAGUCGAUCAUUUCAAUCAUCUUCUCCACAAUCUGAAAAAAUUAAUUUGUAUUGAAAUCAGCAACACCAUUCAAAAAUAGAGAGCCAUCAACGUUCUCGCAAGUAGCUAUGUCUUAUAAUCCCUCAAAUCAAGAACUCAAAGCAAUACAUAGUACAAUGAGACUGCAGAACCCAACCUCUCUCUGUGACCACCAAGACGUCGGCCAGAGAUGUAGCGACCAGUCAUGCCCUCAGCCAUGUCUCCAUCGUCUUGCUCUCUCGCCAACCACUAACUCGUCACACCACCAACUUUUAGUUAUCACAGUACCAUUUUCGCAGAUCUGGAAACAAACAAAAACAAAUCUAAAAACAGAUGAGUAGAAGAGACGAAACAAAAUAACAUUAAAUCUUACCAUCGGUGAUUGAUAUCUUUGUUUUUCAUUGAUGGAAAUGAAAAGAAGCAGAUUAGAAGAGAAGAGAGAAGAGAGAAGAUGAAGAGAUGAAGUCUCGAAUUUUUUUAGCCAAAGAGAUGAAGUCUCGAUAGAGGAGAGAAGGAAGAAAAAAGAUUUAAAACAAUUAAUUAAAAUAGAUUAAUUUCAGCCUUUAGAUCGACACUGAUCAACGACCAGGAUUAAAUAUGAUUGAUCCCAUUUUUUCUAAAUGAACCAAUCAGAAGAAAAUGAUUGUGGACCUUUAGAUUCGAUUUAAUGAGUCGUUAAGAUUGCGAUCCACGCACUUGUUUUUAAUUGGCUCAUAUUUGCUAACAUUAUUUAUGUAUUAACUAAUAAGUUUUUUUCCUUUGUUUUUGUAGUUUUUGUUUCUUGUUCUAUGGUUUAGUUUAAAAUUUUGGAAGUUACAAUAUAAAAAUGAUUUGUAAUUUAAGCUUUAGGAUUAAAAAUAUAUAUAAACUUAAAAAUUAAAAGAUACACACCUUUGUGAAAUGAACCAAUAGGAAAAAUAAAAUGAUUUGUGGUUUAUGGUUAUGGGUUUGAUAUUAAAAUGUAUAUGUUCAUAAUAUAGAGUUAUAGAGUUAAGGAUUUGAGUAUGAAUGUUAAAAUUAUUAAGUAUACAUUUUAAGUAUGGAUAUAUGGUUUGAAGUAUGUAUAUGUAAGGUUUAGAGUUUGAGGUUAUACUUAUGGUUUUAUAUUCAAGUUUGGAAAAGUAUACAUCUUGAAUUUAAAUUAUUAAAGUUUUAGUGUUGGUGUUUAGAUUUAUAAACAUGAUUUGAGUUUUAAAUAUACUUGGAGUUUAAGUUUAAAAUUUAUAUUAUAAAUUUGAAAAACUUAGAUUUAUGACUUUGUAUGUAGAGUUUAAGUUUGGGGUUUGGGGUUUAGGGUGUAGAUUUAAGAUUUAGUGUUUGAGGUUUAGAUUUAAAUUUGAGAUAGAUUUUUAAAAUGAUUAAGUUUAAUUUUUGAUUGAAAUGAAUAGAUUGAAAUUUUAAAUUUAUGUUCAGGGAUUUAACACCCUAUAAUUAUAUAUAAAUCUAGAUACGGUUUUGCCUGCCACUGCCCUAAAUGUCUGGAUGAUUCAUCAAUCUCCGAAAUACUCAAUUUCGCAUUAUUUUAUUCAUUGUUCCUUGGUUUUGUAAUGGUUUUUUUGUUUUGAUAUUUAAAAACCUUAGUUCUCCUUGAGCUUAAUUAAUCCAUAUCCAUAAACGAAGAUUCAAUAUAUAUUUAAAGAGAUAAUCAUGCACGCAUUCUAAACUUUGUCACAAAACAAAAUAUAAAGUUUCCCAGGCAUAUAAUACUUAAAGAACGUCUAGAAAGUUUUGAGUUGGCUGAAGUAUUCUGUUGCUUGGAUACAUGACGAGGACCCUCUCCCAGUACCUUGCAAAACGUACUGGACUCCAUCUUUAACACCGCCGCAAUGUAAUUGGAUAGACCCUGAGGUUCUUUCAUACGGAUGACUUCUUUCAUUUCUCUGGUCAAGCCGAUGUAUAAAAUCCUCUCCAAGUGAUGAUCAUCCAACCCUGACACUUGAGCUGACAAAUCCUCAAACUCUGACACAUAAUCAGCUAUAGAUCCAGUUUGACGAAUUGAGAACAACCUCGUGCUAGGCUCAUCUUCAAUCGACUCUGAAAAGCGCACACAAAGGCGUUGCUUAAAGUCUUGCCAGCUCUGGAAACCACCUCGACGCAUCACCCAAGCAUACCAUUUCUUCAACGCUCCCUUCAAACACAAUGGAACAAGAUCCAACCUCGAAUCUUCAUCAUAUCUCCCCAACUCAUAAAAAUACUCCACAUCAACCAUCCACUCAGAGAUUCUAGAACCAUCACAGAAUGGCAUCUCAAGUUUCUUCAACAUGUUCUCGCGAUUAUCUAGAUUCAACUGCUCCUCACGGUAACCAAACAGAGAGUGAUCUCGCACCCUUUCGUAUCAAGGACGGCGUACCUGAGAUUGAGAAGACGAUAACACCGGAUCUCGUAGCGGAGAACAGAACGGAGAUCGAUCAAUCACCGGCUGCUUUCCCAAUGCCUUAAGUGCCGAAUCGAGCUUCGAAUCCAUCGACGACAGCUUCGUAUCAACUGAAUCGACUCGCGCUUCCAACGAAUCGAAUCGAUCAUCCUUUACCUUCGCAUCAGUACACAACUUCUCAUACGCUCCCAUCAGAAACGUCACCUGACCUUGAAUCUUCGUCGGAUCCAUCGAUACAUCAGAAUAACCGGAUUUGGACUGAGAAGACGAAAAAAUAGUCGCGUUUGAGAGAUCGAACCGUUUCACCGCACCAAUGAUAGACUUUUGUAGAUUGGAAGACUGAGAAAUUUGUAAAGGAAGUACUCGUUUAUUGAAAAUAGAAAUAACUUUGCAAGUUCAGAUUCAGAUCAUCAUCUCAUGACGAUAGUGAUCUUCAUCUACGAUCUCAUAACGAUCGCCACUAGACUCAUAGCGUCUACAAAGAACAUACAAAGCAUAGACCCCCCAAUACAAAUGAUACUCUCUCUCAUAUACAACUCGAGCUUCCUUGGCAGUUAGAGUCUAACUGCUAACCUUCUGCUUCUCCCAGAGUCUCUCCCUUCUUAUCGAACUCGGCCACAUCAUCCAAUUCGAACUCUCCCUCCAGCUUUGCCAUGUCACUCAAUGAUUCAUUUAAACGCUUCUUCCCGCGCCUCACAUAAGAACGUUUGAACCUAUCACUUACCCUUUAGCACGAUACAUAGAGGAGGUCCACACUUGCUGGUGUUUCUUUCUUAGAAACGGUAAGAAUAUCGAUGUCUGCUGUAGUAGAUAAACCAUUAAAUUAUGACCAACCUACAAGCAAUGGAACUUGGAUAUUAACACUCUAAACUCGAAGAUUAGAAGUAAAUCAUCAAAAAAGUUUAACAAC
rnacentral:lncRNA from 1 species